UAUACCCCCUUCUUCUCGUGGAGUUGCAUAUCUUCACACACACACAAAAAACAAAAAAAAACGGAGAUUAAGAAUUAUUCACAUUUUUUCUAACCAAAAAAUGACAAAGUCAAAUCUUUUAUUAAUUGUCCUUUUGGUUUCAGCUAUGUCAACAACUAUUCAAGUGAGCAAAGCCAUGACGUGUCGUGAAUUGUGGCUUGAACAAUCAGAUCUGUGCAAAGAACAGUGUCAACAGAACUGCACCAAGAAGUAUGGCUCCGCAUCUUCUUCAGUGUGUAGUUUUCCUUAUUGCGUAUGCAGCUACGAAUGUCAUCAUUAUUAAUUAAGAAUUUUAUUUUAAUGUAAUAAUGAUAUAACAUAUUUAGUAAAGUUAAAGUUCAAUUGCCAAUGA